CGCCCUCAUCGGCCUCCCCCAAGUGCUAAGAUUACAGGCGUGAGCCACCACGAUUGGCCCUUUUACUUCUAACCUAUCUGUGUUUUUAUGUUUACAGUGGAUUUUUUACAGUCAGGCUGGCUUUUUCUUUUUGACCAGGGUGACUAUAUCUUUUAAUUAGAGUGUUUAGGCCACUUAUGUUUAAUGUCAUUAUUAACUGUCUUCACAGUGAGGGCAAAAGAGGUGGGGGGAGAAGUGAGAGGGAAAGGCUUGUCCUUCCCAUCUGUUUUGAGCCAAGAGCCUCUGGGUUUAAGUUGGGCCUGUUCUUUCUAGAGAUUUCUUGGCUAGCAGGUUCCAGAGUCCACGACCUUCUGGGUGUGGACUCAGCUGAGGUGGUUGUUCCACCCUCCCCGUCCCUCACGCUGCGUCCUAGCAUUUAGGGCCUUGGUUUUUCCCUUCUGAUCCCUUCCUGGGCUAAAGAAGUGCACUGACUUACUCGUUAUCCCAUGUGAUGAUGGGGUCCGUGUCAGCUCACACGGGCUUUGCUCUUGUUGGGCACAUCAUGUCCAUGGGGGCAUUGCGGUGGAAUGGGAGUGGGAGGCAGCCGUGGGAAAGUACCAGAACACCAGAGAAUUUCUAACCCCCACCUCACCCUAAAGUGUACUGGCCGGGCCUGGUUUGACACAUCCUGUAGAAGGGCUUGGCCGUCCACCUGGGACGGUGGGCGUCUGCUUCUGUGUCGCCGCCAUCCAGGUGGAAGGUCUUCUCCCAGGUGAACAUCUGAAUGCCCUGUUGGUGGCCUUGUCACCGGGCAGGCCUCGCGGUUCCACCACUAGGUUCGCAGAUCUGUGUCGAGCCCCGGCAUCAGUGGGAACAGGCUCCUUCAUGCCCGGGAGACACAGGUGGGUUCUUUCAGAGUCUGCCUUGUGGGCAGGGGGAAGAGGAUAAAAGCGUCGGUCUUAAAGACCGAGGUUCUGAGAAUGGGAGCAGAACUAGCUCUUCCACCUGUGACAAAUGCUAGGAACAUCUGUCCCGUCUCUGAAAGCAGGCCACUCUGUACUAAUCUGUGUCUUCACCACUGUAAAUCCGCAUUGAGCCUCUUAGUGCCACCCACUAGCUGGCGUCCGCCGCAGCGGUGCAGGUCUUCCCGGCGGCCCUUACACAAGAUCCGCGUUUGCGUCUAACGCCUUACCGCACGUCCCCCGACCUGGGGUGUCCUCUCUCCAUCCCGUCCUCACUGUGCCCCACAACUCAGCCCACACCCUGCCCUCCGGGAGCCUCCCCCGACUUCAUGGGCAGAGUCGGAGCGUCACGCUUGGUGCUUCUGUCGGCCCUUACACGCUUCCACGGCAGGAACUAGCCCAGUGCCACCGUUGCUUGUGUUCCUGUGUCCGGCACAUGAAGGGCCGAGGUGGCAUCUGGAGUCCUCCCACCCCCGGUGCCGAGCACAGGCUGUACUUCCGCCCGGAGGGAGCGAGCGCUCACGGAGACGCUGUCCACGCUGUUCGCUGCCCUUGUGUACCCCCCCCACCGCCGUGUAUUUAUAGCCCCGCUUCCCUAUAGGAGGGGUGCUAGGGCUGUGCUGGGUGCAGGCAGUGAGAUUCGAGCUCUGAAGAGGCUGGGAGAGUGGGUGGGAACACGCACAUGCACGCACGUAAGCAUGUGCACACACACAAGCACCACCUGUAUACACUCACAGGAAAGGGCACAGACAACAGUCUGGAGGUAGUGCAGGAAAUAAAGCUACGGGAGCAGCAGGGGAGGGACGUUAGUAGACACAGCGGACGGUGGGAGCAGACAGAGGAAGAGGAUUUCUGGCGGAGUGUUCCGGACUUGCAGAGGUACGCAGGGUGUUGGUGAAAAUCCUGACCUACGGAGCACUGAGGGUGUGCGGAGGACAGACCCCAGCAUGUGUGUGUGUGCAGGAACUCACGCCAGCUUAGGGACCGCGGCUGCUGUCAUCAUCGUCAUCCCGUUUGAUGGAUGGCACAGCUGGUCACUCCCUGGCCCCGAAUCCCAGCUGGCAGAUGCUAUGACAGCGACAGGAACCCGGGCUCUCGUCCAGGAAACUGUUUUGUUCCUGUUUGUCUAGCUCACCAAGGGACACAGUG